GACGAACGCUGGCGGCGGGCCUAACACAUGCAAGUCGAACGCAGUGGGGACGGGGGAGUAACACGUGGGUAACCUCCCAUCAGAGGGGAUAACACUUGGAAACAGGUGCUAAACUGCUACGGAUGGAUGGACCCGCGGUGCAUUAGCUAGUGGGUGGGGUAACGGCUCACCAAGGCGACGAUGCAUAGCGGACCUGAGAGGGUGAUCGGCCACACUGGGACUGAGACACGGCCCAGACUCCUACGGGAGGCAGCAGUAGGGAAUCUUCGGCAAUGGACGCAAGUCUGACCGAGCAACGCCGCGUGAGUGAAGAAGGUUUUCGGAUCGUAAAACUCUGUUGUUAGAGAAGCGGUAUCUAACCAGAAAGCCACGGCUAACUACGUGCCAGCAGCCGCGGUAAUAC
rnacentral:rRNA from 1 species